UGUAAGAAAAAUUGCAGAGAAAAAUAGACGAGAGAUCUGGGUGAAAUAAAAAACAAUCAAAAGUAUAGAAAAUUCGUACUCAACCCCUAUCUACAUCUUGAGUGAUUGAAAACAAUGAAUUUCUUAUUCUUGUCUGUUGACUUCCAUGAAGAUUGGGAGGUAUCUGAAGAAGGGUUUUCUUUGUUCUUGAGUUUUGACUGAAGGUUUUACUGUUUGACUAGGUGUCUUUGAAUUCAAUUGGCGGAUUACGAAGAUUGAGGUUUGAGUAGCGGGUUUGAGGUGGGAAUUUACACAAGUCUUUUGCAACCAUUAAUGUGUUUUUACAAAAAUUAUAUUUAUGCACUUAAAAAAACUCAUGCAUGGCUGAAUUUUGAUUCCUUAAAACCCUAUUGAUUCUUUUGGGUCUUUCCCCUACUUGAAAAGAACCUGAAUUGUGUGCUUGUUUGGUAUGAAUAUUAUGGGAAAUAGGAAUUUCCAAUUGUUAUACAUAUAGGAUAUGCUCAUUCGUUUAUAUCUACAUGAAUUCGAGCUUUUAUGCGUAAAAGGUGUGUAAGGAAUUGGUCGACACGAAUAUAAUCUAAUAGGUGUGUAAGGAAUUGGUCGACACCAAUAUAUACAUUGUUUGAAGGAGUAGUUCCAUAUACCUUGAAUUGUUUCGUGUGUGUUGUUUUACUUUAAAUAGAUUACUUGAUUGUUAUUGCAGUGAAUUAAAUGUGUUACAACAUUUCUGAAAUUUUGCAUCGUUUGAAAAUCAACUUUGAUGAUUUCAUUUGAGGAGUGUAAGUAUCCACUGAGAUUGUUUAACUCAAUCUUUCCACCUCCUUUUAGUGACAGGUAGCCUCGAUGCAAGUGGUGUUGACUCGGCCGAUAGAGAAAUUAGUGUCUGGGUCGAUUAAGUUGUUCUAACUCGUCCUUGAGAUAUCAUUGCUAGUCUGAGUAGUACUGUGCAGUCUUGUAACUUUCUGAAGGUGUACUUUCUUGCUUUUUUUUUUAUUGCAAGUAAGGCUCUACCUCCUGAAUGUAUAUAUUGUAUAUCUACAGACAACACACUUGUAAAUUAGAUGGUUAUGUAUAUUAUGAAAAGUGUAGUUUGUGUA